rnacentral:tRNA from 1 species
GGGAGUAUAGCUCAGAUGGCAGAGCGCCGGCCUUUUAAGCCGAGGGUCGCAGGUUCGAUGCCUGCUGCUCCCA